rnacentral:tRNA from 2 species
AAAAUAUGUCGGGGAUAAGAUAUAACUUCUAAUUAUACCUUGAGACGUUCAACUCAUCUCAUAUUUUU